rnacentral:rRNA from 1 species
UACAGAGGGUGCGAGCGUUAAUCGGAAUUACUGGGCGUAAAGCGUGCGUAGACGGUUAUUUAAGUCGGAUGUGAAAGCCCCGGGCUCAACCUGGGAAUUGCAUUCGAGACUGAAUAGCUAGGGUGCGGUAGAGGGAAGCGGAAUUUCCGGUGUAGCGGUGAAAUGCGUAGAUAUCGGAAGGAACGCCGGUGGCGAAAGCGGCAUGCUGGGUCCCUUCUGACGCUGAGGCGCGAAAGCCAGGGGAGCAAACGGG